rnacentral:misc_RNA from 1 species
AUAGAGAAUAUAAACAUAAACAAAAGCCAAGGGGAUCUGUCAGCUGACAAGGAGACAAGAACUAAAAUGCAUUCAGUUGAUACUGCCCCAGUUGAAAUUCCUAAGGACCGAAGAAGGUGGACCCAGAUUGUUGAUUCCAUAAAGAAGGCCAUAUUUAUACUGGGAACAACAUGUGUUUUUAUCAUUGCAGCCAGCAACUCUAUAACCUGGCAUUUACAAAGAAUCUGGGGUGCCUCGGGGAAUCUGUGGCAGAACACAUGGAACCGAAUUUAUCUGGCUUUUGGAGAAAAUGAUCUUUUAAUUGGUCUAUUUGGAACUUAUGCUCUCUCCAUGAGUGUGUUCUGGAUUGCCAACUUCUUUCUUCUGAUUAUUGAAAUUACUAAAUGGCCACAGUUUUUGACCAAGUACAAAAUACAAGAAGACCCUAUCACAGAGGCAAAAACACAAACCCAUGCUGAAGAAAACACUACAGGUGGUAGUAUUUAACCAGACUGUGAUUGGCAUACCAUUCAUGGUCCUGACCUACUAUCUCUUUGAAUGGCGGGGCUGUGCAUUUCAUGGGGAGCUACCCACAUUCCACUGGUUUCUAUUGGAACUCACAGUAUUCUCCCUUGUAGAGGAGCUGGGGUUUUAUUACUCACACAGGAUGAUGCACCACAGAAAUUUGUACUCCUACAUACAUAAACGCCACCACGAAUGGACUGCUCCUAUAGGCAUAAUCUCCCUGUAUGCCCACCCUAUUGAGCACAUCAUCAGUAACCUGCUACCCCCUAUCCUGGGACCCUUGUUAAUGAAGUCUCACCUGUGCUCUAUCUGGGUGUGGUUCACCAUUGCGCUGCUGUCUACCACCAUCUCUCACUGUGGCUACCACUUCCCUCUUUUACCAUCACCAGAGGCCCAUGACUACCACCAUAAGAUGUUUAUUAACAACUUUGGCGUUCUUGGAAUCCUGGAUCGGCUACAUGGAACGGAUCUGAACUUCAGGGCCAGUAAAGCUUACCAGAGGCACGUUCUGCUACUUGGGCUGACCCCUCUCUCCCAGCAAAUCCCAGACUCCCCUUCCAAGAAGUCUGAAUAAGUGAAGGUCUAUGCUCUUUUACUGAAAAGACUUGUGCUUUUAAAAGAGCUUGCUUUUUAGCUCCCUAGAGCAAGUAAGCUUUUCUGAUCAAAAUAUGUUUGCAUCUUUCUCUGUUGGCAUCCGUUUUAACAUUUCCUAUUUUUAUCUUUCUCUCCAGAACCAUUGAGACAAUUUCAGUCCAACUGUUCACAAAAUAUGUUUAGGUGUGAAAGUGGAUUCAAGAUAAUUCAAAGUUUUCAGUUAAUUAUAGUGUAACGACUGGGGCUUGUUUAGAAGAUAUGCUGCUUGCAAGUUUUUAUGCAUCUUCGCUAGCCAAGGGUUUUCAGUCUACUCUGCUCCCCAACCCUUGGCUUGCGAAGAUGAUCUGUUUAAAGAAAAUUAAUGCAGAUAUUUGAUGAACAUAAGUCUGCUCUAUUGAACAAGGGUCUAGGGUCAAACAGAGGCCACUGUUGUCGGAGUUGGGAUUAUUUUUCUGUAAUUGAUCCAGUAAGUGGUAGUAAAUGAACAGUACUUGAAUUUGACAUACCUUAGUUUCUUAAGUGAGUGAUGUGAUCCAUUGAUGUUUGGUUUGAAAUAUGUGUGUUUUUAAUGGCUUAUUUAUGAAUCAAGAUUACCGGUAUUCUUGUGUGAUAUGUUUGCUACUUAAUCAGAUAUUUUUGUUUAAAAAAUUGUACACAAAUUGAACAGAUGGAAUCUCUCUAUACAUUUACAUGUAAAUACCACCACCAAAAAAAGGGAAGAGAAAUGCAAUUGCAUACUUUUUUUUUUUUUAUAUAAGACACAUUUUCAAUUUGCAAUUUUUGAAAAUAUUUUAAAUUUUGCAAUUGGUCUUGAACUUGGGUAGCAUAAGUUUUCAAAGAAUCUCAAUGAUCUGAUCAAAAUGAAACAUUAAACAAGAGUUGAUUAUUUUGUUUUUAAUAAAAUAUGUAAUAUUUUUAUAUCACGUAUGUUGUUUAAUUUUGAAUUAAGAAGUAUUGAUAAUACUCUAGUCCGCAAUGUCUGCAUUUACGUAUUUGUUUAUUGUUAUUUAUUUGAUAUUUUCAGCUUGAUUGUGAUAAAAGACUAGCAUUGUUUACAAAAUUUGUAAUAUGAAUGUUUUAUUGUGUAAUAUUUGUGUAAGUUAUUAUAAGAAUCAUAAAUAUGGUGUGUCUUGUGUUUAAAGCAUUUUGUCUCUAAUAAAAGGACCACAAACAAAAAUAA